rnacentral:lncRNA from 1 species
GAGCCACCCAAAAGUAUUCUACUCCUAAUCCGGGAGAGAAUAGCCAAAAACAUAUCUGUUUUUCCCUAUGAAAUAAAUGCUCGAGUUAUCUUGAUUACUACCACUUGCUAUAUUAUUUAAGGAGAUAAGUGCUCUCUAAAAAAAAAGAGGAUACGAGGAAAUAAAAAGGGGCAAGUGCCCGGAACCUCGAAGAAAAGAAAGAGUGAGACGAGAGGUAAAAAUGGACAAGUGUCCGACAGUAGAAUUAGGGGUACAAAGAUACCCACCUGAGAGAAAAGAAAAAGAAAAUAUAGAGCAUCUCAUUCUCCUCAAAAAAAUCUUCAAAGUGCAAGAAAGGUAUGUAUCCCCUUAAAAAGAGCAAAAGUAGAAUUAGACUUUCACCAUUGUUAUCACCAUCAUCAUCAUACACCAUUCACUCGCCACACAUGCACAUCUUGAUUUGACUUAUUGACUUGUUUCUCUAGAUCCAUGGUUUGACUAUGCAAUAAAUAUCUUGUAAGUAUGUAUUAGCUGUCUCCCACCUAUGAGCUCCCGAUAUCAAAACCUUAUUAGAGU